AUGACCUACCUCAUCGUCAAUACUCCGGUUCUUUUCCGCCUUUCCAUGAGUAGGAAGAUGAAGGACGCUCCCAAAAUGCUAGAUGAACUAGUUGUGGAGAUGAACAUUUUCCACUUCCUACAGCAUGCCGAUGCACCAACCAUUGUUCAUCCGCAAACACAUUCUCAUGUUGAUGAAUCAGAGAAAGUCGGCAAACAAGAUGAGAAGGAACAAGUGGUAAAGAUAUUGCUCGACCACUCCCACAAAAACAGUGAUAAUAAUAACGUUAUGGUGCUCCCAAUAGUUGGUAUGGGGGGAAUCGGUAAGACCACCCUUGCUCAACUUGUGCACAAUGAUCAAAGAGUGGUGCAUCAUUUUGAGUUGGUUAUAUGGGUCCUUGUCUCUGAUAAAUUUGUUAUCAAAGAAAUAAUCCGGUCUAUAAUACAAGUGGCCACGAUGAAGAAAUGUGAUUUUGCUAACAUGGAGACAUCGCAGAAGGAUCUUAUUCGGGUGUUGGGCAAGAAAAGGUACCUCCCAGUGGUAGAUGAUGUUUGGAAUGAAGAUAGACAGAAGUGGAAUGAUGUGAGAUCAUUGCUAUGUUCACAUGCUGGCUCGGGUAACAAGCCGCAGUGA
rnacentral:rRNA from 1 species